CAGAGUUUGAUCCUGGCUCAGGACGAACGCUGGCGGCGUGCUUAACACAUGCAAGUCGAACGAUGAAGCCUCGCUUGCGGGGUGGAUUAGUGGCGAACGGGUGAGUAAUACGUGAGCAACGUGCCCAGAACUCUGGAAUAACUUCGGGAAACCGUGGCUAAUACUGGAUAUGUGCCGGGGAGGCAUCUCCUCCGGUUGGAAAGAUUUAUCGGUUCUGGAUCGGCUCACGGCCUAUCAGCUUGUUGGUGAGGUAAUGGCUCACCAAGGCGACGACGGGUAGCCGGCCUGAGAGGGUGACCGGCCACACUGGGACUGAGACACGGCCCAGACUCCUACGGGAGGCAGCAGUGGGGAAUAUUGCACAAUGGGCGCAAGCCUGAUGCAGCAACGCCGCGUGAGGGAUGACGGCCUUCGGGUUGUAAACCUCUUUUAGUAGGGAAGAAGCGAAAGUGACGGUACCUGCAGAAAAAGCACCGGCUAACUACGUGCCAGCAGCCGCGGUAAUACGUAGGGUGCAAGCGUUGUCCGGAAUUAUUGGGCGUAAAGAGCUCGUAGGCGGUUUGUCGCGUCUGCUGUGAAAGCCCGAGGCUCAACCUCGGGUCUGCAGUGGGUACGGGCAGACUAGAGUGCGGUAGGGGAGGUUGGAAUUCCUGGUGUAGCGGUGGAAUGCGCAGAUAUCAGGAGGAACACCGAUGGCGAAGGCAGAUCUCUGGGCCGUUACUGACGCUGAGGAGCGAAAGCAUGGGGAGCGAACAGGAUUAGAUACCCUGGUAGUCCAUGCCGUAAACGUUGGGCGCUAGAUGUGGGGACCAUUCCACGGUUUCCGUGUCGUAGCUAACGCAUUAAGCGCCCCGCCUGGGGAGUACGGCCGCAAGGCUAAAACUCAAAGGAAUUGACGGGGGCCCGCACAAGCGGCGGAGCAUGCGGAUUAAUUCGAUGCAACGCGAAGAACCUUACCAAGGCUUGACAUAUACCGGACAUGGCCAGAGAUGGUCACUCCCUUUGGGUCGGUAUACAGGUGGUGCAUGGUUGUCGUCAGCUCGUGUCGUGAGAUGUUCGGUUAAGUCCGGCAACGAGCGCAACCCUCGUCCUAUGUUGCCAGCACGUUAUGGUGGGAACUCAUGGGAUACUGCCGUGGUCAACACGGAGGAAGGUGGGGAUGACGUCAAAUCAUCAUGCCCCUUAUGUCUUGGGCUUCACGCAUGCUACAAUGGCCGGUACAAUGGGCUGCGAUACCGCGAGGUGGAGCGAAUCCCAAAAAGCCGGUCUCAGUUCGGAUUGGGGUCUGCAACUCGACCCCAUGAAGUCGGAGUCGCUAGUAAUCGCAGAUCAGCAACGCUGCGGUGAAUACGUUCCCGGGCCUUGUACACACCGCCCGUCAAGUCAUGAAAGUCGGUAACACCCGAAGCCGGUGGCCUAACCUUUUGGAGGGAGCCGUCGAAGGUGGGAUCGGUGAUUAGGACUAAGUCGUAACAAGGUAGCCGUACCGGAAGGUGCGGCUGGAUCACCUCCU
rnacentral:rRNA from 2 species